UACGGAGGGUGCAAGCGUUAUCCGGAUUCACUGGGUUUAAAGGGUGCGUAGGCGGAUAAGUAAGUCAGUGGUGAAAUCUCCGAGCUUAACUCGGAAACUGCCGUUGAUACUAUUUGUCUCGAAUAUUGUGGAGGUAAGCGGAAUAUGUCAUGUAGCGGUGAAAUGCUUAGAUAUGACAUAGAACACCAAUUGCGAAGGCAGCUUACUACACAAUGAUUGACGCUGAGGCACGAAAGCGUGGGGAUCAAACAGG
rnacentral:rRNA from 1 species